rnacentral:tRNA from 2 species
GUUUCUGUAGUUAAUUUUAUAACAGCGGCUUUUCAGGCCGCAGUUCUCGGAGAGAGGCCGAGCAGGAACA